CGCGCAGGCGGCCUCUUAAGUCUGAUGUGAAAGCCCCCGGCUCAACCGGGGAGGGCCAUUGGAAACUGGGAGGCUUGAGUAUAGGAGAGAAGAGUGGAAUUCCACGUGUAGCGGUGAAAUGCGUAGAUAUUGGGAAGAACACCGGUGGCGAAGGCGGCAACCUGGCUCAUUACUGACGCUGAGGCGCGAAAGCGUGGGGAGCAAACAGGAUUAGAUACCCCCGUA
rnacentral:rRNA from 1 species